rnacentral:rRNA from 1 species
ACAAUGGGCGCAAGCCUGAUGCAGCCAUGCCGCGUGUGUGAAGAAGGCUUCGGGUUGUAAAGCACUUUCAGUCAGGAGGAAAGGUUAGUAGUUAAUACCUGCUAGCUGUGACGUUACUGACAGAAGAAGCACCGGCUAACUCCGUGCCAGCAGCCGCGGUAAUACGGAGGGUGCGAGCGUUAAUCGGAAUUACUGGGCGUAAAGCGUACGCAGGCGGUUUGUUAAGCGAGAUGUGAAAGCCCCGGGCUCAACCUGGGAACUGCAUUUCGAACUGGCAAACUAGAGUGUGAUAGAGGGUGGUAGAAUUUCAGGUGUAGCGGUGAAAUGCGUAGAGAUCUGAAGGAAUACCGAUGGCGAAGGCAGCCACCUGGGUCAACACUGACGCUCAUGUACGAAAGCGUGGGGAGCAAACAGGAUUAGAUACCCUGGUAGUCCACGCCGUAAACGAUGUCUACUAGAAGCUCGGAACCUCGGUUCUGUUUUUCAAAGCUAACGCAUUAAGUAGACCGCCUGGGGAGUACGGCCGCAAAGUUAAAACUCAAAUGAAUU